UACGUAGGGUGCAAGCGUUUAAUCGGAAUCACUGGGCGUAAAGGGCGCGUAGGCGGCGUUUUUAAGUCGGGGGUGAAAGCCUGUGGCUCAACCACAGAAUGGCCUUCGAUACUGGGACGCUUGAGUAUGGUAGAGGUUGGUGGAACUGCGAGUGUAGAGGUGAAAUUCGUAGAUAUUCGCAAGAACACCGGUGGCGAAGGCGGCCAACUGGACCAUUACUGACGCUGAGGCGCGAAAGCGUGGGGAGCAAACAGG
rnacentral:rRNA from 1 species